AAAUUGAAGAGUUUGAUCAUGGCUCAGAUUGAACGCUGGCGGCAGGCUUAACACAUGCAAGUCGAACGG
rnacentral:rRNA from 1 species